GAGACGCUAGCGGCAGGCUUAACACAUGCAAGUCGAGGGGCAGCGCGUUGUAGCAAUACAAUGGCGGCGACCGGCGGAAGGGUGCGUAACGCGUGAGCAACUUGCCCGUCACAGGGGGAUAACCGGUGGAAACGCCGACUAACACCCCGUAACACAUUUCGCCGCAUGGCGAGAUGUUGAAAACUCCGGUGGUGACGGAUAGGCUCGCGUGCCAUUAGCUAGUCGGCGGGGUAACGGCCCACCAAGGCAACGAUCAGUAGGGGUUCUGAGAGGAUGAACGGCCACAUUGGGACUGAGACACGGCCCAGACUCCUACGGGAGGCAGCAGUGGGGAAUCUUCCGCAAUGGACGAAAGUCUGACGGAGCAACGCCGCGUGAACGAUGACGGCCUUCGGGUUGUAAAGUUCUGUUAUACGGGACGAAUGGCGUAGCGGUCAAUACCCGUUACGAGUGACGGUACCGUAAGAGAAAGCCACGGCUAACUACGUG
rnacentral:rRNA from 1 species